rnacentral:tRNA from 1 species
GGCUAUUAGCUCAUGGUAGAGCGCGCCCCUGAUA